CCCGCACAAGCGGUGGAGCAUGUGGUUUAAUUCGAAGCAACGCGAAGAACCUUACCAGGUCUUGACAUCCCCUGACAACCAGAGAUUGGGCGUUCCCCUUCGGGGGACAGGGUGACAGGUGGUGCAUGGUUGUCGUCAGCUCGUGUCGUGAGAUGUUGGGUUAAGUCCCGCAACGAGCGCAACCCUCGCCUCUAGUUGCCAGCAUUCGGUUGGGCACUCUAGAGGGACUGCCGGCGACAAGUCGGAGGAAGGUGGGGAUGACGUCAAAUCAUCAUGCCCCUUAUGACCUGGGCUACACACGUGCUACAAUGGGCGGUACAAAGGGCUGCGAACCCGCGAGGGGGAGCGAAUCCCAGAAAGCCGGUCUCAGUUCGGAUUGGGGUCUGCAACUCGACCCCAUGAAGUCGGAGUCGCUAGUAAUCGCGUAACAGCAUGACGCGGUGAAUACGUUCCCGGGCCUU
rnacentral:rRNA from 1 species